GGGGCCGUAAAGGUUUCGACGGGGGUUUUGAAGCCCACUAAGCAUGUAGAGUUCGCCUAAACUCUUAAAAAAUGGGUACUUUUAAAAUUAAACGCAGAUUAUAGAUCUGAAUUAGUAGCUGCCUAAUCGCGGCUUCCGUUCCUCCGUUGAGUGCUGUGGCUUCGGUAGGAGCGUCAUCUAACAGCCAACGCUUAUAGCGAGCGCUCUGUAGCUUUAAGCGCACUUAAAGAGCUACCGAAAGGUUAUCCUGUCUGUCGGAGAACCCGUAGGGAAGCCUAAAAGACCGACUAAACAUGUAGAAAGGCGUGUGAAUGAGCUUUCGGACGGGGGUUCGACUCCCCCCGGCUCCACCA
rnacentral:tmRNA from 1 species